rnacentral:ncRNA from 1 species
UUUAAAACGAUGAACAAGAAUAGUAUUAUCAGUAUCGCCUAAGAGAGAAGAUUAAUUGGUGGGAAGUCUUUGCAUAGCUGAUAAGAAGGUAGCUUGGGAGUUAAUAAUUCUAAUUAAGUAAAAUUAUUCGGAUAGUGAUCGUUACUUCACUAAUAAAGUGGUAUUUAGUUUUUAGCUAAAUACAAUUUAGGUGGUACCGCGUAAAAAACGUCCUAAAA